UUUUUGUAUUUACACUCACGGGAACCCUGCGUCUAAUUUUUCCCGCGUUUUGCUCUUCUAACUCGCGGCCGACACCGUGAAUUGAUAAAGUUUUUGCAUUAUUUUCGUCGUGGCUAAAGCCAAGAAAGAAAUUCGUCACAUCUUUACACUUUUAUAAUAAAAAGACGUACAAACGAUGGAUGGAAGGACAAAGGAUGGGUUUGGAAAAAGAAGGCGAAUCCCAACUCAAGCAAGCUGCCAGCUUUAAAUGCAUGAUGCUAGGGCAGGAUGUAUUCAUUAAUACAGCUAAGUUACAAAAAAGAUAGAUAAUAGUUACAAAUGAAAACUUGUUAUAAAAAAAUGAACAAGGCUAAUAAAAUAAACUAAAAGAAGUCAGAAACUUUGAAAAAAAAGUUAGAGUGGCUUAUUUCAUUCACCCUUUGACAAAAGUGGCUGGUACAAAACACUGACCAACAUUGGUCCUUAUUGCAAAUGGACUAAAUGGGUUUUCUAGUAAAAAAAUAAAGUUUCAAUUUGAACUAAUUAACUGCACGGGGUUUUGUGAGCAAUCUACUUUUCAAAUAGCUGAUAUGAAUAUAGCUCAAUACUUUGGAAUCUGAGAUGAUAUUUGCAAAAAUCAACAGCAAUGUACCAUUUGACCUUUCAUGCAAUUAUUUCAAAGAUAAUUUAGCACUCCUGUACAUGGAAGUGAUGUGAAAUGAAAAUAUAGCUACCUUUUUUAAGAAACUGCAUCUUUUUGUUAUGCCACACCAAGCCCUAUUUUAUGAUUUAACACAAAUAUACCAGGUGUACAUACCCUUGAAACCAUGAUGCUUCAAUAUGGGGGUCUAGUGGGUCCAUGGACCUCCUCAUCGAGGGUCAGUGUUUUGUACGAUCCAUCCAAGACAAAGUGUCAAUUCAAAGAGUAUUAGCCAAAAAAACUCAGUAAAGAAGGUUGAUAAAACUGUUCAUCUAACAUUAGAAAGUUAUAAAAAUCAAGAAAAUCUAGUAGUUGUGCAAUGUGAAAGGAAGAAAGGGAAUUUGGACAGUGUAGGCAAGUAUGGAGCACAUUUACUGGCAAAAACGAUAUGCUAAUAUCAUGGAAGUGAUGUGAAAUGAAAAUAUAGCUACCUUUUUUUAAGAAACUGCAUCUUUUUGUUAUGCCACACCAAGCCCUAUUUUAUGAUUUAACACAAAUAUACCAGGUGUACAUAACCUUGAAACCAUGAUGCUUCAAUAUGGGGGUCUAGUGGGUCCAUGGACCUCCUCAUCGAGGGUCAGUGUUUUGUACGAUCCAUCCAAGACAAAGUGUCAAUUCAAAGAGUAUUAGCCAAAAAAACCCAGUAAAUUAGGUUGAUAAAACUGUUCAUCUAACAUUAGAAAGUUAUAAAAAUCAAGAAAAUCUAGUAGUUGUGCAAUGU